GUGUGCGAAAACACAGUGAGACGUGCGCUCGCACAGUGUUUUAGCCGAUCGAUACGUUUUGGGAAUUUGCUCGUUUACGCGUAAUGUUAUCGGAAUUGAUUAGUUUAUCGAUAAUUAUCCAUUAGUUCAAAUUAUUUAACCUAAUGAGGUUAAACGAUAAUUGAUUUAAAAGUGAUUUUUGAUCCAUAAACGAGUUUGAUACCGUUUAUCGGGAUGUACGUGAGAAGCACGACGAUUAAUAAGAGUGGUGUGUCGUGUUUCGAGUCAAUUUUAGAAUAGGAUUCUAAUGUAAGCCAACUGUUAUAAAAUUUGUUUUAGAUGCGGUGAGGCAUGAAGCAGCUGGACCAGGAGUUCGGGAAGCUUGACGUUUCUAAGCCCCGGCGUAUUUUUGGAUAAGCGUUUUCAAUUUCCUUUCAGGUGAAAGACACUUUUGAAGCAACGGACUUCUAUUUUUGAUCCAGAAGUCUGUAUUUUUGAGGUAGUCAAAGUCAGAUCAGACAAACCAUUUUUGUUGUGCCAGAAGUCGAUUGACUUGCACAGAGUAUGAGUUCCUAAAAUUGUUGUAGUCAGUAGGUGUCAGUAUAAGAUUUGUGAUUUGAUUUCAAAC